CUGGGUCCGUCGAUUCGACAGAUGGAUCAUCAGAGCAGUUGUUUUUUACAUGAGUCUUAUAAAAGCCGCUUUUCUUUCUCCGAUCCUUCUCCUAUUCUUCUCUCUUCAACACACAUAAUCGUAAUUCUGUUUAAUUUUUUCAAUUUAGUUUUGCAUAGUUCGCGGAUUGUUUCUCAUAGGAAGAUAUUGUAGUGCUUCGAGGAGGUUUGGGUGCAAAUAGUGCAAAUAAACUUGAUUCUGGCCCCUCUGCAUAUUCUUCCUUUAAUUGGAGGAUAGACAAGGGGCCUUGAUGCAAUUGUCGGUGCUCUAGAAAGGGACAACAGUUACAUCGCCUGAUUAAUUUCCUAGAGACGUUCUUGCAUUUGUCCACGGGAAACACUCCAAGAUGACAGGGUCAAUGGACGAGCAUUACCGGGUACCGGAGGUCCCGGUUUCCAUUCACGCUAAUACCUGAAAAACUGUCAGUGGGGGAAAUUACUGGACUAAAGUUUCUAAUAACAAUGUAACAAAUCUCCAGCAUUCGCCGAAAGUAAGCACAAGAUUUAUUUCUCAUGUAUUUACCUAAUCACGUAGUUAAGUCUCUCUUUUUUUUCCCCACUCAUACUUACACAAGAUUGUGGAUUUAGUUGCGGUGCAGAUGUUUCAUAUGGUUAUCACUAACCAAAAACAACACUCCCCCUUUCCUUUCAAGGCAAAUAUUUUCCCUUCUAUUGAGAUUUAUGUACUCAGGAAACCCUUGAUGUCACUAACAAGAUGAGUAAUGGUGAUAUAAAUGAUCUACAAAAUAAUAAUGUCACGACCUUGAUAUAGUCAUCAUAGGAUUUUUUGGCAGUUGAUGGGAACAUUUUGUUGCGUCAAAGGGAUUUUAGCGAUAAUUGUAGAUAUUAUUCUAUGAGUUUUUGCUCAUUAGAUUAUGAUUUGGUGUUCCUGCUGAUUUCGGUAAUUCAUUUUGCAGAUGUGAGGUGUAGACCACAUCUCUGAGCUCAUUUUGUUGAAAUUUUCUAUCAAUUGUCAUAGUACUGAUUGAACACCCUCAUCUAUCUAUAGAAAGGAAACCAUUCAUUUAUGUUUGUGUAGUUAUAUUUUGGGUGAUAGGACCACUGCGUUAAUCAAGGACCAGUGGUUGAAGAAGGAUCAAAAGGAAUAGCAGUGCGAAGCGGUGAAGGAUGGGUUUCACUAAUCCUGAUUUUUCACAGAGUUUACACCCCUCUGGAUGGCGACAGUCAUGCCUGAGGUGGUGUUAGGUUUGCUGACGGGUUAAUGUAAACAGGGAAAAUC